rnacentral:tRNA from 1 species
GAGGGUAGAGCUCAGUGGUAGAGUGCGUGCUUAGCAUGCAUGAGGCCCUGGGUUCAAUCCCCAGUACUGCCU